rnacentral:pre_miRNA from 1 species
GUAUGUGAUAUUAAGAGGUAUAUAUGAAUCAUAAAUAUGGAUGGUUUGAUUGAUGAGUAAUUGAUGGUGACAGAAGAGAGUGAGCACACAUGGUGGCUUUCUUGCAUAUUUGAUGGUUUCAUGCUUGAAGCUAUGUGUGCUCACUCUCUAUCUGUCACCCCCUUCUCUCUCUCUAUAUACACCAUUUAAAUUUAUUUUAUAGAGUUAUAUACAAUUUGAUUUUGAUAC